rnacentral:rRNA from 1 species
GAUGAACGCUAGCGGCAGGCCUAAUACAUGCAAGCUGAACGGUAAAUAUUCCAGCAAUGGGAUAUGAGAGUAGCGUAAGGGUGCGUAACACGUAUGCAAUCUGCCCUGUACAGGGGGAUAGCUCGGGGAAACCCGGAUUAAUACUCCGUAAGAUAUCGAGGGGGCAUCCUUUUGAUAUUAAAGUCUUCGGGCGGUACAGGAUGAGCAUGCGUCUGAUUAGCUAGUUGGUGGUGUAACGGACCACCAAGGCGAUGAUCAGUAGGGGAACUGAGAGGUUGAUCCUCCACACUGGCACUGAGAUACGGGCCAGACUCCUACGGGAGGCAGCAGUAGGGAAUAUUGGUCAAUGGAUGCAAGUCUGAACCAGCCAUGCCGCGUGCAGGAAGAAGGCCUUCUGGGUUGUAAACUGCUUUUGCCGGGGGAUAAAAAGCUCAUGCGUGAGCAAUUGAAGGUACCCGGUGAAUAAGCCACGGCUAACUACGUG